UACAGAGGUGGCAAGCGUUGUUCGGAAUUACUGGGCGUAAGGGGCGCGUAGGCGGCCAUCUAAGUCAGACGUGAAAUCCCCCGGCUUAACCUGGGAACUGCGUCUGAUACUGGACGGCUGGAGUUUGGGAGAGGGAUGUAGAAUUCCAGGUGUAGCGGUGAAAUGCGUAGAUAUCUGGAGGAAUACCGGUGGCGAAGGCGGCAUCCUGGACCAAUACUGACGCUGAGGCGCGAAAGCUAGGGGAGCAAACGGG
rnacentral:rRNA from 1 species